UACGAAGGGUGCUAGCGUUGUUCGGAAUCACUGGGCGUAAAGCGCGCGCAGGCGGCUAUACAAGUCAGAGGUGAAAUGCCAGGGCUUAACCUUGGAAUUGCCUUUGAAACUGUAUGGCUGGAGUUUGGUAGGGGAUAGCGGAAUUGCUAAUGUAGAGGUGAAAUUCGUAGAUAUUAGCAGGAACACCGGUGGCGAAGGCGGCUAUCUGGACCAAUACUGACGCUGAGGCGCGAAAGCGUGGGGAUCAAACAGG
rnacentral:rRNA from 1 species